CAGUAGCCGCGGGAACACGUAGGGUGCAAGCGUUAAUCGGAAUUACUGGGCGUAAAGUGUGCGCAGGCGGUUUGUUAAGACAGAUGUGAAAUCCCCGGGCUCAACCUGGGAACUGCAUUUGUGACUGGCAAGCUAGAGUGUGGCAGAGGGGGGUGGAAUUCCGCGUGUAGCAGUGAAAUGCGUAGAUAUGCGGAGGAACACCGAUGGCGAAGGCAGCCCCCUGGGCCAACACUGACGCUCAUGCGCGAAAGCGUGGGGAGCAAGCAGGAUUAGAGACCCCAGUAGUCCCUGUCUCUUAUAC
rnacentral:rRNA from 1 species